rnacentral:miRNA from 10 species
CCUCCGAAGUUUCCCUCAGGAUAGCUGGCGCUCUCGCAGACCCGACUGACCGCAGUUUUAUCCGGUAAAGCGAAUGAUUAGAGGUCUUGGGGCCGAAACG